rnacentral:rRNA from 1 species
AUUGAACGCUGGCGGCAGGCCUAAUACAUGCAAGUCGAACGAGUGGCGGAUGGGUGAGUAAUGUCUGGGAAACUGCCCGCUGGAGGGGGAUAACUACUGGAAACGGUAGCUAAUACCGCAUACCAUCGGAUGUGCCCAGAUGGGAUUAGCUAUUAGGUGGGGUAACGCCUCACCUAGGCGACGAUCCCUAGCUGGUCUGAGAGGAUGACCAGCCACCCUGGAACUGAGACACGGUCCAGAAUCCAACGGGAGGCAGCAGUGGGGAAUAUUGCACAAUGGGCGCAAGCCUGAGACAGCCAUGCCGCGUGUAUGAAGAAGGCCUGCGGGUUGUAAAGUACUUUCAGAGAGGAGGCGUUACUCGCAGAAGAAGCACCGGCUAACUCCGUGCCAGCAGCCGCGGUAAUUC